rnacentral:lncRNA from 1 species
UUUCAGCCUCAGGGAGCUCUAGUGGAGAGACAAGAUUCGUGCAUGAAAUAAUUACGACUGUUGUAGAAAAAAGAAAAGCCUGUAGGUCUCCCUUCCUCCCUCCUUCUCUCUGUCUACCUCAGCAUUUCUGGGGUUCACUCUGCUCUGGGUACUGUGUAAAGGACUCCACAGCCAUCAACUUCCCUUCAUCCUUGCCGUGUCUUUGAAAGAGCUGAGAUUUCUUUACAUCACAGUGGUUCAAGGAGAAAAACACAGCCAGAUCCUUCCUCAUCUCAACAUAAAUUAAACCCAGAGGCAGUCAGCGCCACAGUCCACACUCGUAACCGUUACACUCACCUGGAAAUAAAAGUAUUUUUGUGCGGGGACUGCAAGGACUAAGCCCGGCCGCACUCCGAGUUUCUCCUCCUCACAGCCUAGGGAUCAGCCUCCUUGUUUCAGAUGCGGAGAUAAGAGCCCAGAGAGGUUAAGUGGCCCAGCCAAGAUCACACAGCACAGUGGCAGCCAAAGAGAGAUAGGGGCUGAGGCUCAGAGAGGGCAAGUGACCUGCCCAAAGUCACACAGCCGUGACUCAUUGCUCAGGUGAGGAAACUGAGGCUCAGAGAGGGUCCGUGGCAUGUCCAAGGUUACUCUGCUGUUAAUUGUUUUCUUGGCACUCUCUCCCUUCUCACCUGUGACUACCUGAGUGUCCCCAGAGGCAAGGAACUAUGUGAGCCACUCCAGUGUUCCCAGCCCCAAGGCCAGGCACAGUGGACAUUUAUUGCUGAAUGAAUGAAUCAAGAGAGAGGAUCAGAAAGCUGCAGAGGAUGAUAGAUCUGCAAAAUUCUCCCUGGGUGAGGCCCAGGCUCAGCUUCCAGAACAGCUCCAUCUGUCUCCCACUCACUGAGAUUGAACUAAUGUCCCACAGUUGGACAGACCUGAAAUUGAGCUCUGUGAUUUUGGAUACCUGCCCCUCUGCUGGAGAUUCUGCAUGUCUGAGGUACCAGCCAUUGCCAGAAACUGGGCUAUGUUCUCUCCUUUCAUUGUGCCAUUUCAUUCUCACCCCAAAAUGAAAACAC